rnacentral:rRNA from 1 species
GACGAACGCUGGCGGCGUGCCUAACACAUGCAAGUCGAGCGGAAAGGCCCUUCGGGGUACUCGAGCGGCGAACGGGUGAGUAACACGUGAGUAACCUGCCCCAGACUUUGGGAUAACCCUCGGAAACGGGGGCUAAUACCGGAUACGACACAGCUUCGCAUGGGGUCUGUGUGGAAAGUUUUUCGGUUUGGGAUGGGCUCGUGGCCUAUCAGCUUGUUGGUGGGGUGAUGGCCUACCAAGGCGACGACGGGUAGCCGGCCUGAGAGGGCGACCGGCCACACUGGGACUGAGACACGGCCCAGACUCCUACGGGAGGCAGCAGUGGGGAAUAUUGCACAAUGGGCGGAAGCCUGAUGCAGCGACGCCGCGUGAGGGAUGACGGCCUUCGGGUUGUAAACCUCUUUCAGCAGGGACGAAGCGUAAGUGACGGUACCUGCAGAAGAAGCGCCGGCCAACUACGUG